rnacentral:rRNA from 1 species
UGGGGAAUUUUGGACAAUGGGGGCAACCCUGAUCCAGCCAUGCCGCGUGAGUGAAGAAGGCCUUCGGGUUGUAAAGCUCUUUCGGUCGGGAAAAAAUCGCGCCUUCUAAUACAGGGCGUGGAUGAUGGUACCGGACUAAGAAGCACCGGCUAACUACGUGCCAGCAGCCGCGGUAAUACGUAGGGUGCGAGCGUUAAUCGGAAUUACUGGGCGUAAAGCGUGCGCAGGCGGUUUGAUAAGACAGGCGUGAAAUCCCCGGGCUUAACCUGGGAACUGCGCUUGUGACUGUCUCACUAGAGUACGGCAGAGGGGGGUGGAAUUCCACGUGUAGCAGUGAAAUGCGUAGAGAUGUGGAGGAACACCGAUGGCGAAGGCAGCCCCCUGGGCCGAUACUGACGCUCAUGCACGAAAGCGUGGGUAGCAAACAGG